CUCAAUGAAUUUUCAAUAGCCGCAAUUUGUGCUAAGGUAGCAUAAUCAUUUGUUUUUUAAUUAAAAACUAGAACGAAAGAUUUAACAUUUCUAUUACUCUCCCAAUUAUAAAUUUUAAAUUUAUUUUAAAUAUAAAAAAAUAUUUAUACAAUAAAAAGACGACAAGACCCUAUUGAACUUCACCUUCGUUUAACUGGGGCAGUUAAUUAAAUAUCAUUUUAAUUUUUUUAAAAAUCUAAUAAAAUUAAAAUAUAAGUUACCAUAGGGAUAACAGCGUAAUAAUUUUUCACAGAUCUUAUUUAAAAAAUAGAUUACGACCUCGAUGUUGAAUUAAUUACCUAUUAAAUGCAAUAAUUAAUCAAGGAAGUC
rnacentral:rRNA from 1 species